rnacentral:rRNA from 1 species
UACGAAGGGGGCUAGCGUUGUUCGGAAUUACUGGGCGUAAAGCGCGCGCAGGCGGUUCUUCAAGUCAGAGGUGAAAGCCCAGAGCUCAACUCUGGAAUGGCCUUUGAGACUAGAGAACUUGGGUACGGGAGAGGUGAGUGGAAUUCCGAGUGUAGAGGUGAAAUUCGUAGAUAUUCGCAAGAACACCAGUGGCGAAGGCGGCUCACUGGCCCGGUACUGACGCUGAGGUGCGAAAGCGUGGGGAGCAAACAGGG